CCCGGGACUCCAGGGCGCAUGAGCCACCGCCGCGUCAGGCUGGGCUUCGGGUGGGGGGCGCGUGAUCACGGACCCAAGAGAUGUUGGGAGACUGGAAAGACAAGUGAUCCUAGCAGCACACGCCACAAUCUGGUAUCUGAGGAUCAUGUGAGGGGCCGCCAGUGCCCUGUCACAAGUCUGAAGCACCUUGAUUCUCAUCCUAAUUGUGGCUCAACGAGUCUGCAGAUCCCUGAAGCAAAGCCAUUACAAAAGUCAGCCCUUCGUAAUCGUCACACCUAUAGCAUAUGUUUUACAAAUUAGGGAACUAGGCACUGUGCUGUUAAUGAGCUUUGCCCAAGGUCACAUCGCCAACAAGUGGUAGGUGAAGACAGAACACGUCUCACUCUGAAAUGCAAUCUCCCCACCCUGGUAUAUUAUCCCGCCUUUCUUGAAGCCAGGAAAGUAAAAGGCUGGAGAGAAACCUUGUCAGGAGCUAGGACUGAUAGGCGGGAGGAGAAAGUGCAUGUGUAACUGCUUGGCUCAAGUGGUGUGAAUUGGUUUAUAGAGGCUGAGAAGAGCCCACCUCUACCUCAGCUCACGCCUGACACCAGACUCUUAAGUUCACAUAGAUGAGUAGACGCCAGCGAUAUUGAAGUAGCACCUCAAAUGGCAUGAGGUUGUUGCUGGUGGAGAAUGGGAAACCUGGGAGUUGGAAAGUUACAUGGAAAGAAGACAGGGCCUACCAUUUCCAAACAGUCUCGCUCCCCAAGCUCUCUCCCCACCUCUGGAGUGGCAUGGGCCACUACUGGAGAUCAAAGCACUCUGCCGACUGAAGUACACCCCAGCCCACGUUGCUCUGCUGGGCCGCUUCUACCAUGUUCUCUGGUGUGGUUCAUCUAUUCCCUCGAUGGGCGAUUCCUCCCAGCACUGUCGACAGCAGUUACACCAUCUGCACACAGGACUAUUGAUGCUGGUCAGCUGGAGCUAAGGAAUUAAUGGUGAUCAAGAAGAGACCAGCAUCAUUGAGGUGAAAUCUUCUGGGAAGCGUUUCUGAGAGCACAA
ensembl:lncRNA